rnacentral:rRNA from 1 species
GAUGAACGCUGGCGGCGUGCCUAAUACAUGCAAGUCGAGCGAACAGAUAAGGAGCUUGCUCCUUUGACGUUAGCGGCGGACGGGUGAGUAACACGUGGGUAACCUACCUAUAAGACUGGGAUAACUUCGGGAAACCGGAGCUAAUACCGGAUAACAUUUGGAACCGCAUGGUUCUAAAGUGAAGGAUGGUUUUGCUAUCACUUAUAGAUGGACCCGCGCCGUAUUAGCUAGUUGGUAAGGUAACGGCUUACCAAGGCGACGAUACGUAGCCGACCUGAGAGGGUGAUCGGCCACACUGGAACUGAGACACGGUCCAGACUCCUACGGGAGGCAGCAGUAGGGAAUCUUCCGCAAUGGGCGAAAGCCUGACGGAGCAACGCCGCGUGAGUGAUGAAGGGUUUCGGCUCGUAAAACUCUGUUAUUAGGGAAGAACAAAUGUGUAAGUAACUGUGCACGUCUUGACGGUACCUAAUCAGAAAGCCACGGCUAACUACGUG